CAAAUAACAAAAGGAAUGGCACUGG
rnacentral:piRNA from 1 species